rnacentral:rRNA from 1 species
UACGGAGGGUGCGAGCGUUGUCCGGAAUCACUGGGCGUAAAGGGCACGUAGGCGGCGCGGGGAGUCAACGGUGAAAGCUCGGCGCUCAACGCCGAGUCGGCCGUCGAUACUCCCGUGCUCGAGCACUGUAGAGGCAGGUGGAAUUCCGGGUGUAGCGGUGGAAUGCGUAGAGAUCCGGAAGAACACCGGUGGCGAAGGCGGCCUGCUGGGCAGUAGCUGACGCUGAGGCGCGACAGCGUGGGGAGCAAACAGG